GAGUUUGAUCAUGGCUCAGGACGAACGCUGGCGGCGUGCCUAAUACAUGCAAGUAGAACGCUGAAGAGAGGAGCUUGCUCUUCUUGGAUGAGUUGCGAACGGGUGAGUAACGCGUAGGUAACCUGCCUUGUAGCGGGGGAUAACUAUUGGAAACGAUAGCUAACACCGCAUAACAAUAGGUGACACAUGUCAUUUAUUUGAAAGGGGCAAUUGCUCCACUACAAGAUGGACCUGCGUUGUAUUAGCUAGUAGGUGAGGUAACGGCUCACCUAGGCGACGAUACAUAGCCGACCUGAGAGGGUGAUCGGCCACACUGGGACUGAGACACGGCCCAGACUCCUACGGGAGGCAGCAGUAGGGAAUCUUCGGCAAUGGGGGCAACCCUGACCGAGCAACGCCGCGUGAGUGAAGAAGGUUUUCGGAUCGUAAAGCUCUGUUGUAAGUCAAGAACGAGUGUGAGAGUGGAAAGUUCACACUGUGACGGUAGCUUACCAGAAAGGGACGGCUAACUACGUGCCAGCAGCCGCGGUAAUACGUAGGUCCCGAGCGUUGUCCGGAUUUAUUGGGCGUAAAGCGAGCGCAGGCGGUUUGAUAAGUCUGAAGUUAAAGGCUGUGGCUCAACCAUAGUUCGCUUUGGAAACUGUCAAACUUGAGUGCAGAAGGGGAGAGUGGAAUUCCAUGUGUAGCGGUGAAAUGCGUAGAUAUAUGGAGGAACACCGGUGGCGAAAGCGGCUCUCUGGUCUGUAACUGACGCUGAGGCUCGAAAGCGUGGGGAGCGAACAGGAUUAGAUACCCUGGUAGUCCACGCCGUAAACGAUGAGUGCUAGGUGUUGGAUCCUUUCCGGGAUUCAGUGCCGCAGCUAACGCAUUAAGCACUCCGCCUGGGGAGUACGACCGCAAGGUUGAAACUCAAAGGAAUUGACGGGGGCCCGCACAAGCGGUGGAGCAUGUGGUUUAAUUCGAAGCAACGCGAAGAACCUUACCAGGUCUUGACAUCCCGAUGCUAUUUCUAGAGAUAGAAAGUUACUUCGGUACAUCGGUGACAGGUGGUGCAUGGUUGUCGUCAGCUCGUGUCGUGAGAUGUUGGGUUAAGUCCCGCAACGAGCGCAACCCCUAUUGUUAGUUGCCAUCAUUCAGUUGGGCACUCUAGCGAGACUGCCGGUAAUAAACCGGAGGAAGGUGGGGAUGACGUCAAAUCAUCAUGCCCCUUAUGACCUGGGCUACACACGUGCUACAAUGGUUGGUACAACGAGUUGCGAGUCGGUGACGGCAAGCUAAUCUCUUAAAGCCAAUCUCAGUUCGGAUUGUAGGCUGCAACUCGCCUACAUGAAGUCGGAAUCGCUAGUAAUCGCGGAUCAGCACGCCGCGGUGAAUACGUUCCCGGGCCUUGCACACACCGCCCGUC
rnacentral:rRNA from 1 species